GACGAACGCUGGCGGCGUGCUUAACACGUGCAAGUCGAACGGAAAGGCCCUGCUUUUGUGGGGUGCUCGAGUGGCGAACGGGUGAGUAACACGUGAGUAACCUGCCCUUGACUUUGGGAUAACUUCAGGAAACUGGGGCUAAUACCGGAUAGGAGCUCCUGCUGCAUGGUGGGGGUUGGAAAGUUUCGGCGGUUGGGGAUGGACUCGCGGCUUAUCAGCUUGUUGGUGGGGUAGUGGCUUACCAAGGCUUUGACGGGUAGCCGGCCUGAGAGGGUGACCGGCCACAUUGGGACUGAGAUACGGCCCAGACUCCUACGGGAGGCAGCAGUGGGGAAUAUUGCACAAUGGGCGGAAGCCUGAUGCAGCAACGCCGCGUGCGGGAUGACGGCCUUCGGGUUGUAAACCGCUUUCGCCUGUGACGAAGCGUGAGUGACGGUAAUGGGUAAAGAAGCACCGGCUAACUACGUGCCAGCAGCCGCGGUGAUACGUAGGGUGCGAGCGUUGUCCGGAUUUAUUGGGCGUAAAGGGCUCGUAGGUGGUUGAUCGCGUCGGAAGUGUAAUCUUGGGGCUUAACCCUGAGCGUGCUUUCGAUACGGGUUGACUUGAGGAAGGUAGGGGAGAAUGGAAUUCCUGGUGGAGCGGUGGAAUGCGCAGAUAUCAGGAGGAACACCAGUGGCGAAGGCGGUUCUCUGGGCCUUUCCUGACGCUGAGGAGCGAAAGCGUGGGGAGCGAACAGGCUUAGAUACCCUGGUAGUCCACGCUGUAAACGGUGGGUACUAGGUGUGGGGUCCAUUCCACGGGUUCCGUGCCGUAGCUAACGCUUUAAGUACCCCGCCUGGGGAGUACGGCCGCAAGGCUAAAACUCAAAGGAAUUGACGGGGCCCCGCACAAGCGGCGGAGCAUGCGGAUUAAUUCGAUGCAACGCGUAGAACCUUACCUGGGUUUGACAUGGAUCGGGAGUGCUCAGAGAUGGGUGUGCCUCUUUUGGGGUCGGUUCACAGGUGGUGCAUGGCUGUCGUCAGCUCGUGUCGUGAGAUGUUGGGUUAAGUCCCGCAACGAGCGCAACCCUUGUUCACUGUUGCCAGCACGUUAUGGUGGGGACUCAGUGGAGACCGCCGGGGUCAACUCGGAGGAAGGUGGGGAUGACGUCAAGUCAUCAUGCCCCUUAUGUCCAGGGCUUCACGCAUGCUACAAUGGCUGGUACAGAGAGUGGCGAGCCUGUGAGGGUGAGCGAAUCUCGGAAAGCCGGUCUCAGUUCGGAUUGGGGCCUGCAACUCGACCUCAUGAAGUCGGAGUCGCUAGUAAUCGCAGAUCAGCAACGCUGCGGUGAAUACGUUCCCGGGGCU
rnacentral:rRNA from 1 species